ensembl:snRNA
GUGUUGUAUGAAAGGAGAGAAGGUUAGCACUCCCUUUGACAAGGAUGGAAGAGGCCCUUGGGCCUGACAACACGCAUACGGUUAAGGCAUUACCACCUACUUCGUGGGAUCUAACCAUCGUUUUUG